GGGUGUGACAGUGAUCUGGCUGCGACAUCUGUCACUCCAUUGAUGGCCAAUGUUAAUUCGGCUGAUCUGGCUGGCUAGCUGGGUGUCCCUUUCCUCGCUCACCGCUGCAAGUGCAUUCUUCCCAAAGCUGUGCACUUGGUUGAAGAGGAUGACCAUUCCCUGACAGAGGAGGACUGGGGUUUGGUCAAGGAUAUAUGAUUAGCUGUGCUCUGCUCCUAGAACCUCCAAACAAGCUCUCAAGGCCCAUUAGAUACAUAGUAUUUAAGAAAUGCAGGGCAAUUAACAACUAUUCCACUACUAGCUUUUCCUAAGAUUAAU
rnacentral:snRNA from 1 species